AUACGUAGGGGGCAAGCGUUGUCCGGAAUUAUUGGGCGUAAAGGGCGCGCAGGCGGUCUUUUAAGUCUUGUGUUUAAACCCGGGGCUCAACCUCGGGACGCACGGGAAACUGGGAGGCUUGAGUGCAGGAGAGGAAAGUGGAAUUCCACGUGUAGCGGUGAAAUGCGUAGAGAUGUGGAGGGACACCAGUGGCGAAGGCGACUUUCUGGCCUGCAACUGACGCUGAGGCGCGAAAGCGUGGGGAGCGAACAGGAUUAGAUACCCUGGUAGUCCACGCCGUAAACGAUGAAUGCUAGGUGUUAGGGAGCACGAACUCCUUAGUGCCGAAGUCAACACAUUAAGCAUUCCGCCUGGGGAGUACGGUCGCAAGACUGAA
rnacentral:rRNA from 1 species